rnacentral:rRNA from 1 species
UUGCCUCAGUAACGGCGAGUGAAGCGGCAAGAGCUCAAAUUUGAAAUCUGGCUCCUUCGGGGCCCGAGUUGUAAUUUGUAGAGGAUGCUUCGGGCGUGGCCGCGGUCUAAGUCCCCUGGAACGGGGCGUCGCAGAGGGUGAGAAUCCCGUCUUCGGCCGGCCGGCCCCGCCCGUGUGAAGCUCCUUCGACGAGUCGAGUUGUUUGGGAAUGCAGCUCUAAAUGGGUGGUAAAUUUCAUCUAAAGCUAAAUACUGGUCGGAGACCGAUAGCGCACAAGUAGAGUGAUCGAAAGAUGAAAAGCACUUUGAAAAGAGAGUUAAACAGCAUGUGAAAUUGUUGAAAGGGAAGCGCUUGCGACCAGAGUCGGCCGCGGGGGCUCAGCGGGCACUCGUUGCCCGUGCACUCCCCCGUGGUCGGGCCAGCGUCGGUUUCGACGGCCGGUCAAAGGCCCCCGGAAUGUGUCGCCUCUCGGGGCGUCUUAUAGCCGGGGGUGCAAUGCGGCCAGUCGGGACCGAGGAACGCGCUCCGGCACGGACGCUGGCUUAAUGGUCGUAAGCGACCCGUCUUGAAACACGGACCAAGGAGUCUAACAUCCACGCGAGUGUUCGGGUGUCAAACCCGUCCGCGCAGUGAAAGCGAACGGAGGUGGGAACCCUCAAGGGUGCACCAUCGACCGAUCCUGAAGUCUUCGGAUGGAUUUGAGUAAGAGCGUGGCUGUUGGGACCCGAAAGAUGGUGAACUAUGCCUGAAUAGGGUGAAGCCAGAGGAAACUCUGGUGGAGGCUCGCAGCGGUUCUGACGUGCAAAUCGAUCGUCAAAUUUGGGCAUAGGGGCGAAAGACUAAUCGAACCAUCUGGUAGCUGGUUCCUGCCGAA